rnacentral:rRNA from 1 species
GUGAACGCUGGCGGUAGGCCUAACCCAUGCACGUCGAACGGCAGCACCGUAAGAGCUUGCUCUUACGGGUGGCGAGUGGCGGACGGGUGAGGAAUACAUCGGAAUCUACUUUUUCGUGGGGGAUAACGUAGGGAAACUUACGCUAAUACCGCAUACGACCUACGGGUGAAAGCAGGGGAUCUUCGGACCUUGCGCGAUUGAAUGAGCCGAUGUCGGAUUAGCUAGUUGGCGGGGUAAAGGCCCACCAAGGCGACGAUCCGUAGCUGGUCUGAGAGGAUGAUCAGCCACACUGGAACUGAGACACGGUCCAGACUCCUACGGGAGGCAGCAGUGGGGAAUAUUGGACAAUGGGCGCAAGCCUGAUCCAGCCAUACCGCGUGGGUGAAGAAGGCCUUCGGGUUGUAAAGCCCUUUUGUUGGGAAAGAAAAGCAGCAGGUUAAUACCCCGCUGUUCUGACGGUACCCAAAGAAUAAGCACCGGCUAACUUCGUG